rnacentral:lncRNA from 1 species
AGCCUAUACCUGGAAGAGAGGGAGGUUUGUUUAGGCAAGCAUGGCAUGACAGAACCACAGUUCCAUUCAUUCUUGAACCACUUCAAUCAGCCUUCUUAUGAGCUUACCCCAUUCGACUUCGCUCCCUCACAUGCCUGCACUAGGGAAUUCUUUACCUGGUGGUCUCGACACUAUGAAGGACGCCUGGUUGACAAGACUGCC